UGGAGAUUGCUCCUUGUGGAGUUUACUGUGAGCCUAUGAUACUGAUUAUCUCUCUGUACAAGGAUUUGACAACAAGAUACAAGAUCUCUUGAUUCAGAAAAGGAAAAAGUCAAGUAAAUGCUUUUAUAAAGAAACUGGCAGUUACAACAAUAGAAAGAGUGAAGAAAAGGAUUACAAAAGCUGCUGGUCUAGAAUCUCAGUGAUUGCUAAACAGCAUACAGAACAGCUUGAGAAUGACAGUGUGUAGGCAUAUAAAUAUAGACUUUUCUCUCCUGUGGAUGUGUAUGCCAGGAUGGUAUCUAUAUUCUGCAACCUGUGCCUUUCUUGUAGCAGUUAAUGGAUGUUUAAUCUCACCAAAAUGUGGGGGGGAAAAAGUGGAAAAUCAAAUAAAACUAUGUUAAACUAAAAACAAAAGACAGACACCUUCUUUAUUCAAGCAGUAGCAAAUAGGACAUAAGAUUCCUGUUCCUCUCUAGGAGGCCAGUGGGGUACCUGUAAUGAGCUUGGCUGCAUAUUUUGUGUAACUUACAAUGGAGCAUGACUAGUCUGGAAGCAGCAAAAAAUCCAAAUGCACAGCAUUGUAUGAUAUAUGAGACAAAUACUUUAGUAUAGCAAGUUGCAUUGUGAAGGCGGAAAGAAAUUAACCCAUAUGUAUUGUACUCUUAAAAGGGAUAGUACAGCAAUAAAACAUAAGUUUCUAAACUACAAUUCUCUAAAUUAGCUCUAUUGUAAUGCCUUAAAUUAGAACUUAUCACAAAGGUUUCAUCUGUCUCCCCCAGCAGAAUGCUUCCAUUGGAGAAUGAGCAAUCUUUCCCCAGAAGGACCAAUUCUGGUUUUCAGUAUCAAAAGGCACCACGCACAUCUAAGAACAGACCUAGACAAUUUCUACAGUCACAAAGGACUUCAUAGCUUUGGGAAAUGGUAUGUUACAGUGCUGAUCUUGGUAAUACAGCCAAUAAAGUGUUUGU